rnacentral:rRNA from 1 species
GACGAACGCUGGCGGCGUGCUUAACACAUGCAAGUCGAACGGAAAGGCCCUGCUUUUGUGGGGUGCUCGAGUGGCGAACGGGUGAGUAACACGUGAGUAACCUGCCCUUGACUUUGGGAUAACUUCAGGAAACUGGGGCUAAUACCGGAUAGGAGCUCCUGCUGCAUGGUGGGGGUUGGAAAGUUUCGGCGGUUGGGGAUGGACUCGCGGCUUAUCAGCUUGUUGGUGGGGUAGUGGCUUACCAAGGCUUUGACGGGUAGCCGGCCUGAGAGGGUGACCGGCCACAUAGGGACUGGGAUACGGCCAAGACUCCUACGGGAGACAGCAGUGGGAAAUAUUGCACAAUGGGCGGAAGCCUGAUGCAGCAACGCCGCGUGCGGGAUGACGGCCUUCGGGUUGUAAACCGCUUUCGCCUGUGACGAAGCGUGAGUGACGGUAAUGGGUAAAGAAGCACCGGCUAACUACGUG